CCUCCACUCUGACCUUCAACGCCUCCCACCUCCACCAUGGAAACAAUGUCUCCUGCACUGCGGCCUACUACAUACCAUCUGGGAACAAAACUGUGACGUCUUCAAGAUACCAACUCAGUAUCUCAUAUGCCCCCAGGAACACCUCUGCUGUCGGCAGCCCGUGUCUUCCAGCCAGAGAGGGAGUCUGCCUGAACCUGACCUGCACCAGUCAUGCUAACCCUGCUGUCAGCGAGUUCACCUGGUACCGAAUACACAGAGAACACAUCCUUAAGAUCGGGAUUGGAUCUUCUCUGUCCAUCCAGCUGUGGAAUGCCAAUUAAGUUUUCUUCUGUGAGGUCCGGAAUGACUUUGGCACAGAAAAGUCUAAUGUCUACAAGAUUGACAUUCAAACUCCUCCCAGGAUCCUGCCCUCUUCAGGCUGCAGCAGAAUUGCAGCCUGGGUGCGAUGUUCCUGCGACAGCGUGGGCAGACCAUCACCGUCUCUGGAGUGGCGGUUGGAUGGGAAACUGGUGUUGGGUUCUGAAGGCAUGUCUGUUAGCCAGGUCAACCUGGAGAACGCCACGUUGAGGAGCUCCCUCACAAUGAGGGCCCCUGCUUGUCUGACAGCCUUGACCUGUCAGAGCUCCAACGCUGCCGGGAAAACCAGCCAGAAGCUUCCUGUCCCCCACCUGGAGACACAGCCAACCCUGACAGGUCUGACCUCAGGGAGAUAAAGGGACCCUAUUGCACCACCAGCUGUGAGGCUGAUCAGUCAUUACAAGGUCUUUCAAAAUAGAGUCACUUCUGGA